rnacentral:misc_RNA from 1 species
CCUUCGGACCAAAAUUGUUGUAUGGCUUGUGUGGGGCGAGGGGCACAACGUGAAUCCGUAAUAGGCCAUGGCGGGUGYCUUUUUAAGCAUCCAAGCCAUACAACAAUUUGGGGUUGGGAGGUGAGGUGAUGGAUAUAAAUCGAUGUAUGUUUAUUGUCGGAUGAUAUGGUUGCGUGAUUUAAACUAGACAUACAUCGAUUUAUAUGGCGCUUAUCGAURUAUGGCUUGUGUGGGGCGAGAGGCACAACGUGGAACUGUAAAAGGAUCUGCAAGGGUUUCCCAAACCACACAAGCCAUACAUCGGUUGUAAGUCGGAUGUCGCUUAUCGAUGUAUGGCUUGUGUGGGGCGUGAGGCACAACGUGGAACCGUAAAAGGAUCUGCAAGGGUUUCCCAAACCACACAAGCCAUACAUCGGUUGUAAGUCGGAUGUCGCUUAUCGAUGUAUGGCUUGUGUGGGGCGUGAGGCACAACGUGGAACYGUAAAAGGAUCUGCAAGGGUUUCCCAAACCACACAAUCCAUACAUCGGUUGUAAGUCGCAAAACAACCACAAUUGUUGUAUUGCUUGGAUGUGUGCGAGAGGCACAACGUGAAUCCGUAAUAGGCCAUGGCGGGUGUCUUUUUAAGCAUCCAAACCAUACAACAUUUGGGGGGGAUUAUUCUAGCGGGUUUCAUUCUCUUCGUAUCGUGC